UACGGAGGGUGCGAGCGUUGUCCGGAAUCACUGGGCGUAAAGGGCGCGUAGGUGGCCUGUGGAAGUCUGCGGUGAAAGCCCGGCGCUCAACGCCGGGUCGGCCGUGGAUACUCUCGGGCUCGAGCUUACUAGAGGCAGAUGGAAUUCCGGGUGUAGCGGUGGAAUGCGUAGAGAUCCGGAAGAACACCGGUGGCGAAGGCGGUCUGCUGGGGUAAUGCUGACACUGAUGAGCGAAAGUGUGGGGAGCGAACAGG
rnacentral:rRNA from 1 species